GUCAUCGCCGUUCGCCCGGCCGGCCCGGGUGAGCGCAGCGCGAGGGACCUGCGCCCUGCGCUCGGCGUCUGUAACCACCGCGCCCGCAGCGACGCUGCCAGGUUAGGGUACGGCUAACCGAACCAGCAGCGGAACCCCUGCGCCAGGUUAGGGUACGGCUAACCGAACCAACAGCGGAACCCCCGCGCCAGGUUAGGGUACGGCUAACCGAACCAACAGCGGAACCCCUGCGCCAGGUUAGGGUACGGCUAACCCAACCAACAGCGGAACCCCUGCGCCAGGUUAGGGUACGGCUAACCGAAGGAACAGCGGAACCCCUGCGCCAGGGCCCCUGUUCCUACGUCUCCCCCUUUGAGACAACCAUCCAACAUCUUUUGGUGAAGUGGGCAGCGGCCCAUGUGGCUUCUUCAAGCUGAAGGCAUUUGCCAUCCACACGUUUGGGAGACUGCAGGCCUGAUCAGCCCACAGUAACUACGGGUCAUAACCCGGUAUCUGGCAGCAUUACAGUGAGUUUCAUCUGUAUGAUCACUCAUAGUUUAGCAGCCACUAGGUAAGAAUAAACACACUUUACCAAAAGAUUAACGUAUAUGACCAGAGCGUGAGCGGUACAGUGGAAGCGCAGAUUGGAGAAGGAGCUGAGUCAACACUAUUUAAAGGGUUGAAAUAGCAAUUUUAGCCAGUUGGCCCUUAAAACUGUCAGCCGGGGUCGGUGACUGGCCCGCCCCCAUGUCUGUCGUGUAUUGUUGCUUAUACAUCUCUCUCUGGCUGUGUCCUUCUAUUGCUGGGUGUUUACAACCAAGUCAAGGCUAGACCUUCGUCAAUCAAAACUUAUCUCCUAAUGAGAUAUCUCAAGAUCACUUAAAUGUCCGCAGGCAUUACUUUUAGAGCCUUGGUCAGAGCCUCUGAGAUGUAUCAGUUCUUCAUCUGUCACAUGUGUCAUCUGCCAGGAUGGGUUAUGGUCUGUGCUAGACUGCAUAGCUCUUUCUGGAAGCAUGGGAACAUUUUACCCUUUGGUGAUCCUCCUUUCAGCAUGAUGUUCACUGCU